GGGGCUGCGCGGUUUGUGCUUCACCACCGUAGACUCCCGGCCCUCGCCCCGCUAAAGAUGCCCUGCAGAGGUAGUCGAAGAGUGAGAAGGGACGUCGGGGAGCCUUCGGCAGCCCUCGCUGCCUUUCACGCACGCAGGGAACCACUUUGCUAGGUGCUGAAGAGCACAGUGGCGUGGGACGCCGUUGUCGCUAACCUCGAGUUGAUCAUGCCCCGAGACUUGAGAGCGUGGACGGAUGUGACUGCCUGGUUCAAACCUACAUUUUGCGGAUUAGGCAGUUGAGGCUUAGAUGGAGACUGGUGAAGGGACCUCCCUAAGGCCGCACAGCUGGGUAGGGGGAGGGCUGGGACUGGGGCGUUGCUGUGGCUCCCAGUCCUGAGGCAUGUGUUCCGCGCGCCUCUCCGCGUGCACACGCUCAGCUCCGCAGACUGUAAAGUCCAGGAGGGCCCGACCAUUUCCCUUUCGUACGCUAUUCGACUUUAAUACCUUACACAGGGUAAAGGUUGAAUAAAGGUGCACAGGACAUAGUUAUGACAUGAAUGAGUGGUGCUAAUAUAAGAUUACUAUUCGGGUUCUGUUUGUUAACCGGAUUAUAUAAGAUAAGCAGUUUGCCGAAGAUAAAACAAGUAAAUCACCUCGUGGUAAAGUGCAUCUGUAUUGGCAAAUGCUGUAUUUGUAAAUUGAGACAAGUUUGAUCAUUUUGCAUUCAGUAGCAAAGAUGUUGAAAUUGUGUUGUUUGAACACGGAGGAAAUUGAUACACUUUAUGUUACUAAUGUCAUUGUUAUUAAAGAGCUAUAAAGUUAUAAAACUAUUUGCUUUGACACAUUUCAACUCUCGAAGCUGCACUUCAGUAAAAAUUUGAACAAGCAGUAGCAAUGUUCUUAAUUGUGCUGAGGGAGUUUGCGAAGGAACCAAUCAUUGUUGGCUGUGUCUAGGUAGCCCUUAGUAAGAUGGAUAGGUAUCCUAGACAUUUUUUUGUGUUUAGACCUUUUUUUAAAACACAUAUUAGGUUAUAUAGUUGAGCAACAUAAAGGCAUACAUGCACAAAUACGUGUGGAAGAUUUUGGAUUUAUUAUUUCAUUAAUUAUGACUGAAUCUAAUUUAGGAUUACCCAAGAAGAUUAAUGUUAUAGAUAAAUGAAAUCUGCAUGUAUGUUCCUUUUUGGCCUAAAAGAGACUUAUUUUCAUACAAACCUUUUAUAAAAGUUGCUCACCCAGUGAAUAGCCUUUGAUUUUAUUUCCACUUUGUACACUUCUUUUCCGAGGUAAAAUAUACCAGAAGUUAUGCAAAACAUGUAAAAGUGAAAAGGCUGUUUUAUAUUCAUAUUUCCUCACAGCCUUUCAUAUUGUAACUGUUUGAUACAUUAUUAGAUGAAUUGAUUCUAACUUGUCCUUUCAUCAAUGAAGCAAUUCAAAUACAACUCCAAAAAUUCACUCAUUUAAGCUUCCCCAUUUUGCAGAGUUGCGGGGGAGGAGUCUGGAAUAUGCCUUUAUUUAAGGAAGUUACCUAGUAUGAUUUGUGAUCAGUACCCUCUAAAAACAGGGAGUCCCAGUCCCCUUUGUUUUGCUUCUGGAAAGUGCUUGUAGUUCUUUAUCUCCAUGUGCAUUGUGGGUGAAUCAUGCUGACUUUAUCCGCUCACUCUUUGGGAAGAUGGGAGACAACGUCUGCAAUAAAGCUGGUGCCAGUAACAUGCUCCCUUCUACCCUGUUCUCAUUAUGCAGGUUAGAGGCAACAACAGCUGUGGGUUUGAGAACAACAUUUGUGCUCAUUUGCUGUCUUUUUGUUGCUGCUGCUCCCAAGGGAGGUGUCUGAGUCCUGCAUACCUGGUAUCAGCCCUGCUUGCUCUGCUGCUUGUUCCUGUCCAACACUGCCUCCCCUGCCUGUGGGGAGAACAUCCAUCAUCUAGCCACUUAUUUUGGCCCCUCAUCACAAGAUUCCGUAGCACUUUUUCCGCUGUGCGUUCCAGCCGGCCCAGUGAUCCCGCUGCGCCUCCGGCCAAGACCUCACCAAAGUGCUGGUUCAAAUGGAACACUCCGUGGAAACCAUGAUGUUCACGUUUCAAAAAUUUGCUGGCGAUAAAGGCUACUUAAGAAGGAUGAGACAGUACUCACGAGAAAGGAGUUCUCUGGAUUUUUGGAAAAUUAAAAAGGUGGAGGCAAAAUAAUGAAGGACCUGGACCAGUGCCGAGAGGGCAGGGCGGGCUUCCAGAGCCUCUUUUCACGGAUGCUGGGCUCCCCAUCGCUUGCAGGGACUAUUCUGUAAUACACACGAGCAGAAGGGAAAGUUUCAAGCAGGCGGCACUGAGCAGUUCUCCUGCCCUGAUAAGAGUUCUCCCAAUUGGCUGCUUAAGGAAUCUCUGCCCGACAGCUUCCCCCUGUAUAAAGCUUUGAUGAGCAGAUUGGGACCCUUAGAAAAUGUACAAAUAAAAUCCCACCCUCAUUUGACAAGAGAAAGAAAAGCCAAUUAAGCUAGAUAAGUUUUUGAUUUUUAUAUUGCUUGUAUCCUCUUGCUGUCAAUAAACAAAUUUCUUUUUUAGAUCCUAAAAUAAAAAAAAUAAAACACAA